GCAAAGCGAUCCCUCACAAUAAAAAAAUAAAUCUUUUUAAUAUUUUCCAAGGCUACAGGUUCAUUAAAUGUUUUGAUUUGUAAGUAACUAGCUUGCCAUCACCUCUUUGAAAUAUAUACAUGAAUAUAUACCAUAUUUAUAUUUGGAGGUAUGUUAUUUAAUAAUUUUGAGAUAUAUGGAGAAUAAUAUAACUGUCAAUUCAUCUGUAAUUUAACUGCUUUCCAUGUUUUUAUCUUCUUUAUUUUGUAGUAUUGUCGAAGAAGAUUUCCUCUGUAGAGUUGAACAAUGAAAGGACUACAAACUUUUAUCACAGGGGACAUUUUGUUCUUGUCUCACAGCUGUAACUAACAAAGGCUGCAACCCGUUCAGUUGUUUCAUUUCCAGGGCUGUGACACUGUGCAUGCUGUGUUGACUGGUAAAGCUAACGGGGCCAUGUUGAUGAGAUUGCCUACACCUGCAGUGGCAAGUCAGGUUAUCUGCUGUGAGGAAGGAAGGACAACAGAGGACAGAACAGCUGGAAGGUGACUGGAGAACCAACCAACAGUCCGUCCGUCUGCUACCUGAUCCGUCCAUCCCCUCUGGGCGGGUUCAGUUCAGACUUGGUGUCGGGGCUGGCGGAGCUCCAGCCGGUGAGACGACAGCGCUGCAUGACGGGACAGACGCUGGGUCCCAUCGAGCAGACGUCUGAGGCCGACCA